GGCCAGAUGGUGUAGUGGUUACAUAUCCUUUAAUUGUGCUGUAGUCACCUAUGAUGUUUAUAAGGAAGUCUCUGGUUCGAAUCCAUCUGGUUU